rnacentral:rRNA from 1 species
UACGUAGGGUGCAAGCGUUGUCCGGAAUUAUUGGGCGUAAAGAGCUCGUAGGCGGUCUGUCGCGUCUGCUGUGAAAACUCGGGGCUUAACCCCGGGCCUGCAGUGGGUACGGGCAGACUAGAGUGCGGUAGGGGAGACUGGAAUUCCUGGUGUAGCGGUGAAAUGCGCAGAUAUCAGGAGGAACACCGGUGGCGAAGGCGGGUCUCUGGGCCGUAACUGACGCUGAGGAGCGAAAGUGUGGGGAGCGAACAGG